rnacentral:misc_RNA from 1 species
CGGGUUGUGUGGGUUGGCGGGCUCCGUGCUUCGGCAUCGAACCGUCCGCCCAUGCGCCGCGUCAGUUAUGCAUCGAGACUUUCUCGUGCUCCAAAGAGAUUCCUGUAUUUGCUACCUAUGCUUAAAGGAAUGGCGCCUCUCGUUUACCCUUUCCCCCCCCAGACCAUGCGGUUAGGGGAGGACAUCGCGGUAGCGCCUGUGCCCCCUCGCAUUGAACAUGCUCUAAGGCAUGCCGCCUUGCGACGGCUCUCAGGUUGUUACUUGAUGCUUCGGAUACGGAACAUUCGGCGGGCUUGGGUGUCUUCACACCUUUGAAGUCCAAAUUCAAGCGUUUUGUCGCUAGACAUGUACGACUGUCAUGCUCGUUGCGGGUCUCCCGCGCGGUGCAUGGCGUCGGCAAAGGAAUGCUACCUGGUU